AUAGCAUAGCAGCUUCGCAUGAAGCCACUAUUAAAAGUCACAACGGUAAAAGAUGAGCAUGCGUCCCAUUAGCUAGUUGGUAAGGUAACGGCUUACCAAGGCUACGAUGGGUAGGGGUCCUGAGAGGGAGAUCCCCCACACUGGUACUGAGACACGGACCAGACUCUUACGGGAGGCAGCAGUGAGGAAUAUUGGACAAUGGGCGCAAGCCUGAUCCAGCCAUGCCGCGUGCAGGAUGACGGUCCUAUGGAUUGUAAACUGCUUUUAUACAGGAAGAAACACUCCGACGUGUCGGAGCUUGACGGUACUGUAAGAAUAAGGAUCGGCUAACUCCGUGCCAGCAGCCGCGGUAAUACGGAGGAUCCAAGCGUUAUCCGGAAUCAUUGGGUUUAAAGGGUCCGUAGGCGGUUUAAUAAGUCAGUGGUGAAAGCCCAUCGCUCAACGGUGGAACGGCCAUUGAUACUGUUAGACUUGAAUUAUUAGGAAGUAACUAGAAUAUGUAGUGUAGCGGUGAAAUGCUUAGAGAUUACAUGGAAUACCAAUUGCGAAGGCAGGUUACUACUAAUGGAUUGACGCUGAUGGACGAAAGCGUGGGUAGCGAACAGGAUUAGAUACCCUGGUAGUCCACGCCGUAAACGAUGGAUACUAGCUGUUGGAAGCAAUUUCAGUGGCUAAGCGAAAGUGAUAAGUAUCCCAC
rnacentral:rRNA from 1 species